rnacentral:snoRNA from 1 species
CCUGCAUGACGGUCUCCUGGUUGUGCCAUCGUGUCUGGGCCACUGAUGCUCUGUGAUGGAACCGAGGAUCUGAACGGG